rnacentral:rRNA from 3 species
AGAGUUUGAUCCUGGCUCAGAUUGAACGCUGGCGGCAGGCCUAACACAUGCAAGUCGAGCGGCAGCGGGAAAGUAGCUUGCUACUUUUGCCGGCGAGCGGCGGACGGGUGAGUAAUGCCUGGGGAUCUGCCCAAUCGAGGGGGAUAACUACUGGAAACGGUAGCUAAUACCGCAUACGCCCUACGGGGGAAAGCAGGGGACCUUCGGGCCUUGCGCGAUUGGAUGAACCCAGGUGGGAUUAGCUAGUUGGUGAGGUAAUGGCUCACCAAGGCGACGAUCCCUAGCUGGUCUGAGAGGAUGAUCAGCCACACUGGAACUGAGACACGGUCCAGACUCCUACGGGAGGCAGCAGUGGGGAAUAUUGCACAAUGGGGGAAACCCUGAUGCAGCCAUGCCGCGUGUGUGAAGAAGGCCUUCGGGUUGUAAAGCACUUUCAGCGAGGAGGAAAGGUGGUUGGCUAAUACCCAAUCGCUGUGACGUACUCGCAGAAGA